AUUGAACGCUGGCGGCAGGCCUAACACAUGCAAGUCGAGCGAGCGGCGGACGGGUGAGUAAUGUCUGGGAAACUGCCCGAUGGAGGGGGAUAACUACUGGAAACGGUAGCUACUACCGCAUACCCUCAGAUGUGCCCAUAUGGGAUUAGCUAGUAGGUGGGGUAACGGCUCACCUAGGCGACGAUCCCUCGCUGGUCUGAGAGGAUGACCAGCAACACUGGAACUGAGACACGGUCCAUACUCCUACGGGAGGCAGCAGUGGGUAAUAUUGCACAAUGGGCGCAAGCCUGAUGCAGCAAUGCCGCGUGUGUGAAGAAGGCCUUCGGGUUGUAAAGCACGUUCAGCGGGGAGGCGUUACCCGCAGAAGAAGCACCGGCUAACUCCGUGCCAGCAGCCGCGGUAAUUC
rnacentral:rRNA from 1 species